rnacentral:tRNA from 1 species
UAUUAAGGAGCUGUACUUCUUAGCACUGGGCUUUUAAUCCAGGGAAAAUAUCGUUAUUCUUAAUAU